AGACCUUUUGGUUUGCAGGCCGGCACUCAGUCUACUGAGCCACACCAGCCAGGGCCUGGUUGUGCAUUUAAAAGUCAAUUUCCUGAUGGGCAGGAGUGAUAGGUAAUGGCUAUGGUUUCUGAGUAAAAAAAAAAAAAUGCUUAAUCAGUUCCUCUUGAGUGAGAUGGUUAAGAAAAUUAGGCAGUAGGUUUAUCAAAAAUUUACCUUAGGCAUAUAAAAUAAUACUUAAUAAAUAGUUGCUAUUCUUUGGAGAUAGGGGAAAGGAAGCAGGUUGUUAGAAGUGAAUUAACCAUCAACACUUACUGUCAUGGUACAUGACAUCUCCACAGUUUUGGUCUUGUAUAAGAUGUUUUUGGUGUAUAUCAUAACAUAACUUAUGACUCUGAAAAUCCCCUGUAAACACUGAGUAUCAAUGUUGUAACAUUAACAUCUCAUUUUA